CCUUGUUCCCGGGGACGGGCUCCUGGGCUUCACUGUCCGGGACUCGGAGUCGGCGCUGUUACUUUGAGUAAAUUAGAGUGUUCAAAGCAGGCCUACGCUAUGAAUACAUUAGCAUGGAAUAACACGAUAGGACUCUGGCCUAUCCUGUUGGUCUGUAGGACCGGAGUAAUGAUUAAGAGGGACAGUCGGGGGCAUUCGUAUUUCGAUGUCAGAGGAGAAAUUUUUGGCAUUUUCGAAAGUACGAAAUAUUCCGAAAGCAAGUGCCAGAGGAAGUUUUCGUAUUAAUCAAGAACGAAUUAGUAGGGGGCAUCCGAAGUACGAUAAGAUACCAUCAAAUAAACUAUAACCAUGAUUUAACGAUGCCGACUAGGCAGAUUCAGCAGGAUAAAGCAGUUUAUACUUCGAUGACUCAUGCAUGGCUACC
rnacentral:rRNA from 1 species